GUUUUUAAAAUGUGGAUCUCACAGAGGCAGAUCUGAUUUCUAAAUGGUGUAAAGUGUUGUCAGUUCUCAGAAUUGGCCAUCUAUUGGCCUUUCCCAUGCACAGAGGUAGUUCCCAGCAGCUUCUCUUGAACAAAUCACUUCGGUGUUUUUUUAUUUUUUUGAUGUUAAUCAAAUGAAACCAACGUCAAAUCAAUGUGAAACCUCCACAGUAAUAAUUUCAGCCUUGCAGAAAUUGAAGGCAUUGGAAAUAAAGGAAAAUAUUAUUUCAUAAAAACUACAUAAUGAAAUAAUUUAGAUAGUUGAGAAAGAUGUCCUUUAAAAUGCAAGAAUGAAGAUUCAACCUGAUUAUAGAGAAUUGUUCCAAUGAUGUAAAAUCUGUGUUCAAUUGCAUAAAGAAAAGUAUUGUUAGAUUUAAUUUGCCCAUAGGAAGACUAAUUCCAAGGCUGCUUCAAAAUAUUUGCUCUUUAAUCACAAUGCUGUUGACAAAUAAGGCUGUGACAAAACAAAAUCAUCGCUCUGAAUUGUUCUGAACUUUGGACAAGUGGUUCCAUCUCCAGAGCUUCAAUUUGGUGAUAGAGGAGUCCACAGCUGUGAACCACUAUAAGUUCAUUUAACACCUGAAGGUGAUCUGUUGUAGGAUAUCCUGAUUAAUAGUAUUUCUGUUCCUUUGGAAAUCUGGAGCUCAGCAUGAAAUGAACUACUUGUAAAAUGAAGACAACGAGAUAUAACUUCUUCAGAGGGAAUCUGCUGCACUGUAAGUUACGGCCAAGAGUAGAGUUCAACUUAGCAGCUAGAGACAGAAGACUUCUGGAGUGGAAGUUCUUAAAAAAAAAAGAUCAGAUUUAAAAGUCUCCUCUGCAAUAGAAUUUACAGUCAUCGGAACUUCUGUGGAAGAGGCACAUAUCAAAAUAAUUAUUAAGUAUUAUGAAUAUGAUGAGAAUUAUGAAAUAAUUAUGAAUUAUUAUGAAGUAACUCCUAUGCUUGCAAAAACAGCUGAAAAAGGAGGAAGCAACUGAUAUAUAGCAGUAUAAUAUUCACCUGUUGUUCACAAAUACAUGGCACAAAGCUGUCACCAUUAAAAGACAAUCACUUUGUUUAUUCACACUGGACACAUGGACUCAAGUUCUGCAAUGAGUUAUACUAAUGUAAAUUUAAAGUAAGCUCCAUGUGGGCACAGUUAAUAAAAAAAUCAUAAAAAAUGAAACUGAAGGUGAAACUUACCUGGACAAACUGCUGUAUUUAACCUCUUUGGAAUUCUGUCUGUCUCCACAGCUCUUUCACUAGGUGUGACCUGUCUGGAAAAAUCUUUAUGAAAAUGCUGUCAAGGAUGUAAAUAAAGCACAUGGAAAAGAUGAAUUUUUAAAUGGUUAUAUCUGACAAUACCUUGGCUUUUCAUCCAAUCUGGAAUAAGGCCUAAUAUCUUGAAGUUUGGUUUCAAUGUCAAAAUAUUUUCUUCUGCAAAUAGUUCAAUUCAUCAUUCUGACUUCCGUGUAAUACUAUAAACUGUACUUUUUUUGUGUUACCAUAAAAUCAAGUAUACUGAAGCAAUAGCCUUUCUAAUCUAGAAAUUUGAUUUCAGCUCAUGGGAAAAAAAAUUGCUAGGGAAAGCACUUCAUCUGCCUAGAAAAUAUGUCAAGAAAAGACAAUUAAUUCAGGGCUUACAGUACUUUUUUCCCCUCCCUCCGCCAUAUUGCUUCCAAAAGGGAAUAUAUAAAGGAAUUGUGUGUAAAUUAUAAACAUAUUAUUUUCUCAAACACAGUCUUAGCUAUGGCUAGUGGUCUUAGUUGCCCCUAGAAUUCUUAAAAAAAACCUUAGUGUAGUGCUCUCUUUUUGGAGCUUUAAACCAAGAUUUUCUCCACUGUAUCUUUAAAUCCAUAUCACCAAAUACCUUUAGUGACAUUAAUAGUACAAAUAAUUUUCUUGAACAAAGAAUGCCUCCUUAAAAGCUGCCAACCUGCUUUGUGACUGUGCUGUUUUCCUUUACAGCUGUGCUGUUCUUCCCCCACCAAACACAGCAUCAUACUGAGCUGUAUCUUGGUUUAAUCUGCUGCCUGUUCUG